UAGCUAGCUAAUCAACAAAGGAUGAAGCCGCAGGUGUUUCCUCUCUUACCGGAUGUAAACUUGAUGCUUUCCCUGAACUUCUAGCCGUCUUAUUUCAACGUUGUAUAUUGUGUAGCUGUAUACCAUAAUGUAGAAAGUGCAACGUGGUUUAAAGAACAGGCACAUUGUGAGUUUAAAAUUGUUUACUGACCCAAAUUUGCUUGAAGUGACUUCGAGGAGCAUCUCUGUAAAUUACAGCUAACGGCCUCCAGGUCCCAAUGCUUAACAUAACAACAGCCCAUGGCAGAGAAGGAUGAAAAGAUGCCUGCCUAGCUUGGACUUGAAGGACUCCCUCCAGGACCAAGCAGGAAACCACAGGAAGAUGUCCUGAGUUGGAAGUAAAAGCAGCCCUGCAGUUCAAGAUCUCCAUGACUGUUUCCAACCACAUAUUAGCACGUGAAGUUUAAAUGCCUUCUGUCGGCGAUCAGGAGAAACACAUUUUGUGUUGCUGGCAGCUGCUCAUACUUGGGGGAGGAGUAUCCAGAUUCUGCUGGACAACUCCUUAAAGGCUGCCACAUCAACAAAGGGAGUAUACUUGGCUGCAAUGCAAAAAGAGGAGGAACAAAAAAAAGUAAGAAUCAACCACAGAGAAGGGAAAAAAGGGAGGAGCUGCCCGUUAAGGCAAAAUUGAGUUUGUAUGGUGAUCGUGCACUUAGAGUACCCUCUGGCACCAUUAACUUUCACUCAGUCUCAGUUUCUGUUGGUGUUGAUGCUGCUUCUGUUAUUGCUCGACAAUAUGGACAUACAGCACCAGUACUUAUUAGAUUAGAGUCUUUUGUGUAGGGUUAGCAUUAGUACAUGUAUAUGAAGAUGAAGAUGAAAACAAAGAAUUCAAAAAGAAGAGCUGAGCAGAUUUUUUUAUGGAUGAAAUAUGUUUUUUACUGCAUGGUUACAAUGUUUUUUGAUUAAGGAAAAACAUUUUGUGAGGCAAUGGCUGUAAAAAAGUGAAUUAUCUCUGCAGCGCACCGAAUGUCUUAGUUCAUUCAAAACAGAUGUUCUUAGUCGCUCCGGAAAGAAUUUGAAGGUCCCACAUACUGUUCAAAUGAAGCAAGCAGCUAUGUACAGUAGAUGCCUUCCUUGGAUGUUAGAAUAAAGGUGGUUAUGUUGUUAUCAGGGUGUCAAGUGGGCACCUUCCAAUUUCAGAAUCACUUCAGCAUGUAACUAUUCAUUACAGGAGUUGAACUUUUCAUUAAGUUUAACUGAUAAUGACAGUGGCCCCCCACAUGUACGACAGGAUCCACAGGUUCCUGUCCUUUCAAACCCCUCUGACUCUUAUGA